UACAUAGACCUCGAGCGUUAUCCGGAUUUACUGGGCGUAAAGCGUGCGCAGGCGGUUCGUUGUGUCGGUGGUGAAAUCCCCGGGCUUAACCUGGGAAUGGCCAUGGAAACUGGCGAACUGGAGUGCGGCAGAGGAGAGUGGAAUUCCUGGUGUAGCGGUGAAAUGCGCAGAUAUCAGGAGGAACACCCGUGGCGAAAGCGGCUCUCUGGGACGGUACUGACGCUGAGACGCGAAAGCGUGGGGAGCGAACAGG
rnacentral:rRNA from 1 species